rnacentral:rRNA from 1 species
CAGUGCCGCGGGAAUACAGAGGGUGCAAGCGUUAAUCGGAUUUACUGGGCGUAAAGGGCGCGUAGGUGGUUAUGUAAGUGAGAUGUGAAAUCCCCGGGCUCAACCUGGGAACUGCAUCUUAUACUGCGUAGCUGGAGUGCAGUAGAGGGUAGUGGAAUUUCCGGUGUAGCGGUGAAAUGCGUAGAGAUCGGAAGGAACGCCCGUGGCGAAAGCGAGGCCCUGGACCUUUUCUGACGCUGAGACGCGAAAGCCAGGGGAGCGAACAGGAUUAGAGACCCCUGUAGUCCCUGUCUCUUAUACA